GGUUAAGCGACUAAGCGUACACGGUGGAUGCCCUGGCAGUCAGAGGCGAUGAAGGACGUGCUAAUCUGCGAUAAGCGUCGGUAAGGUGAUAUGAACCGUUAUAACCGGCGAUUUCCGAAUGGGGAAACCCAGUGUGAUUCGUCACACUAUCAUUAACUGAAUCCAUAGGUUAAUGAGGCGAACCGGGGGAACUGAAACAUCUAAGUACCCCGAGGAAAAGAAAUCAACCGAGAUUCCCCCAGUAGCGGCGAGCGAACGGGGAGCAGCCCAGAGCCUGAAUCAGUGUGUGUGUUAGUGGAAGCGUCUGGAAAGGCGCGCGAUACAGGGUGACAGCCCCGUACACAAAAAUGCACAUGCUGUGAGCUCGAUGAGUAGGGCGGGACACGUGGUAUCCUGUCUGAAUAUGGGGGGACCAUCCUCCAAGGCUAAAUACUCCUGACUGACCGAUAGUGAACCAGUACCGUGAGGGAAAGGCGAAAAGAACCCCGGCGAGGGGAGUGAAAAAGAACCUGAAACCGUGUACGUACAAGCAGUGGGAGCCUCUUUAUGGGGUGACUGCGUACCUUUUGUAUAAUGGGUCAGCGACUUAUAUUCUGUAGCAAGGUUAACCGAAUAGGGGAGCCGAAGGGAAACCGAGUCUUAACUGGGCGUUAAGUUGCAGGGUAUAGACCCGAAACCCGGUGAUCUAGCCAUGGGCAGGUUGAAGGUUGGGUAACACUAACUGGAGGACCGAACCGACUAAUGUUGAAAAAUUAGCGGAUGACUUGUGGCUGGGGGUGAAAGGCCAAUCAAACCGGGAGAUAGCUGGUUCUCCCCGAAAGCUAUUUAGGUAGCGCCUCGUGAAUUCAUCUCCGGGGGUAGAGCACUGUUUCGGCAAGGGGGUCAUCCCGACUUACCAACCCGAUGCAAACUGCGAAUACCGGAGAAUGUUAUCACGGGAGACACACGGCGGGUGCUAACGUCCGUCGUGAAGAGGGAAACAACCCAGACCGCCAGCUAAGGUCCCAAAGUCAUGGUUAAGUGGGAAACGAUGUGGGAAGGCCCAGACAGCCAGGAUGUUGGCUUAGAAGCAGCCAUCAUUUAAAGAAAGCGUAAUAGCUCACUGGUCGAGUCGGCCUGCGCGGAAGAUGUAACGGGGCUAAACCAUGCACCGAAGCUGCGGCAGCGACACUAUGUGUUGUUGGGUAGGGGAGCGUUCUGUAAGCCUGCGAAGGUGUACUGUGAGGUAUGCUGGAGGUAUCAGAAGUGCGAAUGCUGACAUAAGUAACGAUAAAGCGGGUGAAAAGCCCGCUCGCCGGAAGACCAAGGGUUCCUGUCCAACGUUAAUCGGGGCAGGGUGAGUCGACCCCUAAGGCGAGGCCGAAAGGCGUAGUCGAUGGGAAACAGGUUAAUAUUCCUGUACUUGGUGUUACUGCGAAGGGGGGACGGAGAAGGCUAUGUUGGCCGGGCGACGGUUGUCCCGGUUUAAGCGUGUAGGCUGGUUUUCCAGGCAAAUCCGGAAAAUCAAGGCUGAGGCGUGAUGACGAGGCACUACGGUGCUGAAGCAACAAAUGCCCUGCUUCCAGGAAAAGCCUCUAAGCAUCAGGUAACAUCAAAUCGUACCCCAAACCGACACAGGUGGUCAGGUAGAGAAUACCAAGGCGCUUGAGAGAACUCGGGUGAAGGAACUAGGCAAAAUGGUGCCGUAACUUCGGGAGAAGGCACGCUGAUAUGUAGGUGAAGUCCCUCGCGGAUGGAGCUGAAAUCAGUCGAAGAUACCAGCUGGCUGCAACUGUUUAUUAAAAACACAGCACUGUGCAAACACGAAAGUGGACGUAUACGGUGUGACGCCUGCCCGGUGCCGGAAGGUUAAUUGAUGGGGUUAGCGGUAACGCGAAGCUCUUGAUCGAAGCCCCGGUAAACGGCGGCCGUAACUAUAACGGUCCUAAGGUAGCGAAAUUCCUUGUCGGGUAAGUUCCGACCUGCACGAAUGGCGUAAUGAUGGCCAGGCUGUCUCCACCCGAGACUCAGUGAAAUUGAACUCGCUGUGAAGAUGCAGUGUACCCGCGGCAAGACGGAAAGACCCCGUGAACCUUUACUAUAGCUUGACACUGAACAUUGAGCCUUGAUGUGUAGGAUAGGUGGGAGGCUUUGAAGUGUGGACGCCAGUCUGCAUGGAGCCGACCUUGAAAUACCACCCUUUAAUGUUUGAUGUUCUAACGUUGGCCCCUGAUCGGGGUUGCGGACAGUGUCUGGUGGGUAGUUUGACUGGGGCGGUCUCCUCCUAAAGAGUAACGGAGGAGCACGAAGGUUGGCUAAUCCUGGUCGGACAUCAGGAGGUUAGUGCAAUGGCAUAAGCCAGCUUGACUGCGAGCGUGACGGCGCGAGCAGGUGCGAAAGCAGGUCAUAGUGAUCCGGUGGUUCUGAAUGGAAGGGCCAUCGCUCAACGGAUAAAAGGUACUCCGGGGAUAACAGGCUGAUACCGCCCAAGAGUUCAUAUCGACGGCGGUGUUUGGCACCUCGAUGUCGGCUCAUCACAUCCUGGGGCUGAAGUAGGUCCCAAGGGUAUGGCUGUUCGCCAUUUAAAGUGGUACGCGAGCUGGGUUUAGAACGUCGUGAGACAGUUCGGUCCCUAUCUGCCGUGGGCGCUGGAGAACUGAGGGGGGCUGCUCCUAGUACGAGAGGACCGGAGUGGACGCAUCACUGGUGUUCGGGUUGUCAUGCCAAUGGCACUGCCCGGUAGCUAAAUGCGGAAGAGAUAAGUGCUGAAAGCAUCUAAGCACGAAACUUGCCCCGAGAUGAGUUCUCCCUGACUCCCUGAGAGUCCUGAAGGAACGUUGAAGACGACGACGUUGAUAGGCCGGGUGUGUAAGCGCAGCGAUGCGUUGAGCUAACCGGUACUAAUGAACCGUGAGGCUUAACCUU
rnacentral:rRNA from 1 species